AGAGAAUGUGUGAGUUUGGCGCUUUAAACAGAAACUUGAAAUACCCAGUCGCUCUCUGGGCAUUUAGAAUGCUAUUUUCUGGCAGUAUUUUAAAACAAUAUAGAUGAAGCCUCCGCUGUUACUUUCCUAAAAUACGUCAAGCUGCCUUUGACAGCAGCUUUAAUUUUUUAACCUCCUUGUCAAUCACUAACCCCUCGAGGUUACCGGACCCCGCUGCUGAGCUUUGGAAUAGUCCCUGCUGGACACCUGCUUGGUGUCUCUCCUCUAGGCAAUUUGUGAGCUGUUUGGGGGCGGGGGAGUUGUGAAGGGGGGUGAAGGGGAGGGAAAGGGGGAGAAAAGAAGGGGAGGGCAGCGCUGAAUUAGAUUGUUGAUAGCGUCCCUCCGAGGACUGCUAUUAAGAGCAUGCUAUUCUGUACUCUGCUGCAGAAGACAGAGUGGUAUUCGUGUUAGCACACAGCAUGUUGUAAUGUAUGAGAUUUUUGCUCAUCCCGGCUUGGAAUUCAGAAUAGGGAAAAGAGAGCAACUUGCAUGAGAAGCUACUGGAAGAGCGUGCAGAGUUUUGCAGCAGUUGAUAUUUGUUCUUACAUUUUUUUCCUUCUUCAAACUGGAAAACUGAGAGACUGGCAUUUUUUAAACGAGCUCUUCCCAUAAUGGCAUUCUUGUAUUGUGUGGCCAGAGCUUGCAGAGGAGGAAAGCAGGCUGCCGAAUUUAGUCACUGAUCUCUGUUAGCUGUGGCCUAAGGCUAUGCUGAGGUUUAUAUCCCAUUUGUAUUGUUGCAGCUCAAAAGAAGAAUGUUCAGAGGAUGACAAGUGUAUUCUGAGUAGUACCGUGGUGACAACAUGCCAUUGAAAUGGAAAACGAGCUCUCCUGCUAUCUGGAAAUUCCCAGUUCCUGUGCUUAAAACAUCCAGGUCAACUCCACUUUCUCCAGCAUACAUAUCUCUAGUGGAAGAGGAAGACCAGCACAUGAAAUUGUCCCUUGGAAGCAGUGAAAUGGGCCUCUCUUCCCAUUUGCAGUCUUCCAAGGCUGGAACCACACGCAUCUUUACCAGCAAUACCCACAGUUCUGUGGUGUUACAGGUAAGUUCACUGUCCCUUUUACAUUAUUUACAUAGCUUCAGAAACCAUCCAGGGUUUUUUUGGUGUGGGAUGUCACUAGUGGGAGACGUUGUGCCUGUGUGUGGACAA
rnacentral:lncRNA from 1 species